rnacentral:rRNA from 1 species
UACGUAGGGGGCAAGCGUUAUCCGGAAUUACUGGGUGUAAAGGGUGAGUAGGCGGCAUGGUAAGCCAGAUGUGAAAGCCUUGGGCUUAACCCGAGGAUUGCAUUUGGAACUAUCAAGCUAGAGUACAGGAGAGGAAAGCGGAAUUCCUAGUGUAGCGGUGAAAUGCGUAGAUAUUAGGAAGAACACCAGUGGCGAAGGCGGCUUUCUGGACUGAAGCUGACGCUGAGGCACGAAAGCGUGGGGAGCGAACAGG